rnacentral:rRNA from 1 species
CCUACGGGUGGCAGCAGUGGGGAAUAUUGGGCAAUGGGCGCAAGCCUGACCCAGCAACGCCGCGUGAAGGAAGAAGGCUUUCGGGUUGUAAACUUCUUUUCUCAGGGACGAAGAAAGUGACGGUACCUGAGUAAUAAGCCACGGCUAACUACGUGCCAGCAGCCGCGGUAAUACGUAGGUGGCAAGCGUUAUCCGGAUUUAUUGGGUGUAAAGGGCGUGUAGGCGGGAGCGCAAGUCAGAUGUGAAAACUCAGGGCUCAACCCUGAGCCUGCAUUUGAAACUGGGUUUCUUGAGUGCUGGAGAGGCAAUCGGAAUUCCCGGUGUAGCGGUGAAAUGCGUAGAGAUCGGGAGGAACACCAGUGGCGAAGGCGGCCUGCUGGGCUUUAACUGACGCUGAAGCACGAAAGCGUGGGUAGCAAACAGGAUUAGAUACCCUAGUAGUC